GGUGGGGUUUUUCUCAGAAGGGUAGUAGGAGGUAAACCAUUGAGUCAAUCACCCAUCUCCUACUACUCUUCUGAGAAAAACCCCACC
rnacentral:miRNA from 1 species